rnacentral:rRNA from 1 species
AUUGAACGCUGGCGGCAUGCCUUACACAUGCAAGUCGAACGGCAGCGCGGGAGCAAUCCUGGCGGCGAGUGGCGAACGGGUGAGUAAUACAUCGGAACGUGCCCAAUCGUGGGGGAUAACGCAGCGAAAGCUGUGCUAAUACCGCAUACGAUCUACGGAUGGAAGCAGGGGAUCGCAAGACCUUGCGCGAAUGGAGCGGCCGAUGGCAGAUUAGGUAGUUGGUGAGGUAAAGGCUCACCAAGCCUUCGAUCUGUAGCUGGUCUGAGAGGACGACCAGCCACACUGGGACUGAGACACGGCCCAGACUCCUACGGGAGGCAGCAGUGGGGAAUUUUGGACAAUGGGCGAAAGCCUGAUCCAGCCAUGCCGCGUGCAGGAUGAAGGCCUUCGGGUUGUAAACUGCUUUUGUACGGAACGAAACGGUCUUUUCUAAUAAAGAAGGCUAAUGACGGUACCGUAAGAAUAAGCACCGGCUAACUACGUG